GAAGCCGGUUUGCUGAACAGAGUUAAACUCGAGGCUCGAGAGGUGACUCCUGGUAAUGAACUGCUCAAAAAUAAAUCGAAAAACUGGGACAAGUGCUGCGGCUCCAUGAAUAGACGUUCACGAAUUGCCUUGGAAUUGACGCGGAUAGUCACGCAGGACGUCUGGAGCCAGAGAAAAGGCUAAAAUCCUUUCACAGAGAGGUAACACCGAGCUGCGGAGACGGUUUGGAGGUCUGAUAGCUUGUACCCCGAUCAAUCGCCCAAAGAAGAAAUGCAAGCUGUCAUUGGAGGUUGAUUCCGACACCCGAAACUGGCCUUUCGCUGUGGUCUUACUGAAGAAUUGAAUAUUCUCGGAGCACCCAUUUGUCCGGACUGUCCGGUGCUACGUGCAGCCUAUAGGCCUGUUUACUGUGUACACACAUACUAUGUAUAUUAAGAAUAACCAUGAAUAAUAGCCCAACUGAAAACUGCUUUGCAAGUGACACAAUCUGUUACAAAUACAACUUUGAAACACUAAUAGACCUAAAGAUUUCAAAAGACUGGGUGUUACUGGAGUCUGCAUAACUGUUGUCUACCUUCGUUCAUUUAUUUCUCUCAGAUUGAACAUGUCACGUUUUUAAUUGAACUGUAUUGAAAUUCGCCUUUACGAGUCGAAUCUGGAUCGAUUCAACGCGGAUUGUAUUUCUCGAGCCUUUUAACAAGUCAGGUAAGAAUAAUGCAAUUCGGUGCCUUCGUUGAUAGCUUAUCUUAUUUUGUACCAUGUAACUGGAUUUCGAACUUUCGACGAUCUGUUUGCGGUUUGUUAUUUCACGAUAAUUUGCAAAUAUUUGGCGUUUCGACAAUUUGACUUACAACAACUCUUAUCGGACAUAUUAACUGGGCCCCACAAUUAUGCUUUUUAACGAGAACUCGCAUCGCAUCUUUUAUGAAUGAUAUAAUAUAGGCUAGUUAACAUUUAAAGUGAAUCCGUAAGGGCAUGAGCCAGGCAGACGGGAGAUUCCAUGCAGCCGCACCCUGUUCAGCGCGAGAUAGAGGAAUUGUUUUCUUUUAGUGAGUGUUUCUAAUUUCUGUAACUUGACCCUCUAAUAUUUUCACUGAAGUCUGACGUCCAAAACGCAAAACGGCAUACCUAUGAAUUUAUGGAUACAAAUUAUCGUUUGGUCACGUGAAAAUAAAAUGGAAAGGGGACGAUUAAAAAAACCAAAACAUUUUUUUAGCUGUGGCCGUUAAGUUCUCGUCUGCAUAUGCAUAUACAACCGCGUGUGCAUGCCUGGGUCAUACAAAACGAGUAAGAUUAGUACGUGAAUACGACAGAUGUCAUGUAAAACCGGUUAAAUAUACAUGUAAAAUAUUUAAUACAACACUUAUUGCCAAGUUAACAAAAAAAACUCUUUAUUGUCUUUAUCGCACAAAUAAUGCCCUAGUUUUUAAAUAACUUCUUAACUCGCAGUUCUUUUCAGUUAUCCCUUACAUUUUCUCUUCCAGGCAACAUGAAUUAUGUAAGUUUAACCGAAUGUUUACCUGCUUCAUUCAGUCAUGCUUAUGCAACCGGGCAGUCCUGGGAAAACUGACUUUUCCUAACUGCUGCCUGCAGAACUGUACUUUAUCCAUGUUUGCCUUGGUUUGAACGCACUUAGCCUGACACGGGUAGAGAAAGGUGUGCGCUGGCCUUUUCUGAGCUCAUGUUAUCUGCCUUUUACCGGAGGGCAAGGCUGGGCCCACGAACAGUACAUUUAGCCGAAAGCAAUUAACUUAAACUGGUAUGUCAUGGCUUUGGAGCCACACCUACAAGUGAGCUCUGCUACAGCUCUGUAAUGGGCAAUGGGAUGUGAUGUGAUGUGAUACUGUAGAUCUGUAAUGGGCUGGGAUGUGCUGUGAAGUGAUGCUGUAGAUCUGUAAUGGGCUGGGAUGUGAUGUGAUGCUGUAGAUCUGUAAUGGGCUCGGAUGUGAUGUGAUGCUGUAGAUCUGUAAUGGGCCAGGAUGUGAUGUGAUGUGAUGCUGUAGAUCUGUAAUGGGCUGGGAUGUGAUGUGAUGCUGUAGAUCUGUAAUGGGCCUGGAUGUGAUGUGAUGCUGUAGAUCUGUAAUGGGCCUGGAUGUGAUGUGAUGCUGUAGAUCUGUAAUGGGCCUGGAUGUGAUGUGAUGCUGUAGAUCUGUAAUGGGCUGGGAUGUGAAGUGAUGCUGUAGAUCUGUAAUGGGCCUGGAUGUGAUGUGAUGCUGUAGAUCUGUAAUGGGCCUGGAUGUGAUGUGAUGCUGUAGAUCUGUAAUGGGCCUGGAUGUGAUAUGAUGCUGUAGAUCUGUAAUGGGCCAGGAUGUGAUGUGAUGUGAUGUGAUGCUGUAGAUCUGUAAUGGGCUGGGAUGUGAUAUGAUGCUGUAUGUGAUGGGCUGGGAUGUGAUGCUCUGAUAAUUGUCAUUUUGAGAUUUGUGUGUGAUGUCACACAGGUUUCUCACAGCCAGACAAGUCAGGGAUGAGACUUGUGUUGUGCACGCGCACUCUCACUCUCACUCACACUCACGCACACUCACACUCGCUCACUCCCUUCUGCUCUUGUGGAGAGACUGCGCAGAAAGAGUGGAAUUUAUACCACAUGUACCAGGCAUCCCAGGAAUGCACAUCUGAGACCGAGAGA